rnacentral:rRNA from 1 species
AAAGAAAGAGGGAGGGAGGAGGAAAAAAGGAAAGUAGAGCGCAAUGCAAGGGGAGCGGUCGACGGGUGAGUAACGCGUGGGAAAGUACAUUUUGGUUUGGAAAAAAUCCGGGAAACUGGAGCUAAUACCGGAUAAGCCCUAACGGGGAAAGAUUUAUCGCCGAAAGAUCGGCCCGCGUCUGAUUAGCUAGUUGGUGAGGUAACGGCUCACCAAGGCGACGAUCAGUAGCUGGUCUGAGAGGAUGAUCAGCCACACUGGGACUGAGACACGGCCCAGACUCCUACGGGAGGCAGCAGUGGGGAAUAUUGGACAAUGGGCGCAAGCCUGAUCCAGCCAUGCCGCGUGAGUGAUGAAGGCCUUAGGGUUGUAAAGCUCUUUUGUCCGGGAAGAUAAUGACUGUACCGGAAGAAUAAGCCCCGGCUAACUUCGUC